CGCUAGCGACAGGCUUAACACAUGCAAGUCGAGGGGCAGCACGGGAGUAGCAAUACAACUGGUGGCGACCGGCGCACGGGUGAGUAACGCGUAUGCAACCUACCUAUCAGAGGGGAAUAACCCGGCGAAAGUCGGACUAAUACCGCAUAAAACAGGGGCACCGCAUGGUGAUAUUUGUUAAAGAAAUUCGCUGAUAGAUGGGCAUGCGUUCCAUUAGGUAGUUGGUGAGGUAACGGCUCACCAAGCCGACGAUGGAUAGGGGAACUGAGAGGUUGGUCCCCCACACUGGUACUGAGACACGGACCAGACUCCUACGGGAGGCAGCAGUGAGGAAUAUUGGUCAAUGGGCGGGAGCCUGAACCAGCCAAGUCGCGUGAAGGAAGAAGGAUCUAUGGUUCGUAAACUUCUUUUGCAGGGGAAUAAAGUGCAGGACGUGUCCUGUUUUGUAUGUACCCUGAGAAUAAGGAUCGGCUAACUCCGUGCCAGCAGCCGCGGUAAUACGGAGGAUCCGAGCGUUAUCCGGAUUUAUUGGGUUUAAAGGGUGCGUAGGUGGUUUGAUAAGUCAGCGGUGAAAGUUUGCAGCUUAACUGUAAAAAUGCCGUUGAAACUGUCGGACUUGAGUGUAAAUGAGGUAGGCGGAAUGCGUGGUGUAGCGGUGAAAUGCGUAGAUAUCACGCAGAACUCCGAUUGCGAAGGCAGCUUACUAAGCUACGACUGACACUGAAGCACGAAAGCGUGGGGAUCAAACAGGAUUAGAUACCCUGGUAGUCCACGCAGUAAACGAUGAUUACUAGCUGUUUGCGAUACACAGUAAGCGGCACAGCGAAAGCGUUAAGUAAUCCACCUGGGG
rnacentral:rRNA from 1 species